GAUGAACGCUGGCGGCGUGCCUAAUACAUGCAAGUCGAGCGAACGGACGAGGAGCUUGCUUCUCUGAUGUUUGCGGCGGACGGGUGAGUAACACGUGGAUAACCUACCUAUAAGACUUGGAUAACUUCGGGAAACCGGAGCUAAUACCGGAUAAUAUUUUGAACCGCAUUGUUCAAUAGUGAAAGACGGUUUUGCUGUCACUUAUAGAUGGAUCCGCGCCGCAUUAGCUAGUUGGUAAGGUAACGGCUUACCAAGGCAACGAUGCGUAGCCGACCUGAGAGGGUGAUCGGCCACACUGGAACUGAGACACGGUCCAGACUCCUACGGGAGGCAGCAGUAGGGAAUCUUACGCAAUGGGCGAAAGCCUGACGGAGCAAAGCCGCGUGAGUGAUGAAGGUCUUCGGAUCGUAAAACUCUGUUAUUAGGGAAGAACAAAUGUGUAAGUAACUAUGCACAUCUUGACGGUACCUAAUCAGAAAGCCACGGCUAACUACGUG
rnacentral:rRNA from 1 species